GAAUUUGGAUCCCCUGAUAAGAGGUCCGGCGGAUUCUUGAACUCUGCUUUGAUUGCUUUGUUCUAUGUGGCUGUGCUUGCGGGUGUUCUUCAACGGUUCCCUGUUAGCUUUUCACAGCAUCCAGCUGGCCAAAUUAGGAACCGCAAGUCUGGGGGUACUGGAGGUUCUAAAGUGUCCGAGCAAGCAGAAACAAUCACUUUUGCCGAUGUUGCUGGCGUUGAUGAGGCUAAAGAAGAGCUGGAAGAGAUUGUGGAAUUUCUCAGGAAUCCAGACAGAUAUAUAAGACUUGGUGCUCGCCCUCCUCGAGGUGUUCUCUUGGUGGGUCUUCCUGGGACUGGUAAAACUCUUCUUGCAAAGGCUGUUGCUGGAGAAGCAGAAGUUCCAUUUAUUAGUUGUUCUGCAAGUGAAUUUGUAGAAUUAUAUGUUGGCAUGGGCGCCUCCCGUGUGAGAGAUCUCUUUGCUCGGGCAAAGAAGGAAGCACCAUCAAUAAUAUUUAUCGAUGAGAUAGAUGCUGUGGCAAAAAGUCGUGAUGGAAAAUUUCGCAUUGUCAGCAAUGAUGAACGGGAGCAAACUUUGAAUCAAUUGCUCACUGAAAUGGAUGGAUUUGAUAGCAACUCUGCUGUGAUUGUUCUUGGUGCAACAAAUAGAUCAGA
rnacentral:misc_RNA from 1 species